CAUUUGGCAAUGGGGGCACCCUGAGCAGCAAUGCCGCGUGAGUGAGGAAGGUCUUCGGAUUGUAAAACUCUUUCCUUAGGGAAAAAUGGAUUACUGGUUAAUACCCAUUAGUAGUGAUGGUACCUAAAGAAUAAGCCCCGGCUAACUUCGUGCCAGCCCCCGCGGUAAUACAAAGGGCGCACGCGUUGUUCGGAAUUAUUGGGCGUAAAGCGCGCGCAGGCGGAUUAAUAAGUCAGGUGUGAAAUCUCGAAGCUCAACUUCAAAACUGCCCCUGAAACUAUUACUCUAGAGUGUCGGAGGGGGUAGGGGAAUUUCACGUGUAGGGGUAAAAUCCGUAGAGAUGUGAAAGAACACCGGAGGCGAAGGCGCCUACCUGGACGACUACUGACUCUGAGGCGCGAAA
rnacentral:rRNA from 1 species